CUCACAGUUCUGCUUUACUGCUCCUGGGUUACGACGAUUGUCACAUGACCAUAUGGCUUGACGUUUACGUGACACAGCGGGGGUGGGCCGAGGGAAGACAGAUCUACAUUAUUUGAAUAUUUCUGCCCCCGGGAGAUCUGAGUGAGAGGAGAUGGGGACCCGGAGGAAGUGGGCGUGUCUCACCCUGGUGCUGUUCCUUGCCUACACACUGUCUGUGGCCUCGGUGAGUCAAUCUGUUCCCCGCAAAGUACCGAUCGGUGCAAUCUUAUGAUUGCGCUUCGCAUUUUAAUGAUCGUAUAGUUGUAUCAUUUUUGUGAGCUCUUCCGUUUCAUACCUUAAUUCUAAGUUUAAUUUUCAUAUUUUUACACUUUAGAAAAUAUAUGUGAAUGUUACUAGGUGUGAGUAAAAGAAGAAAGAUGGAAGGGAAUU